rnacentral:lncRNA from 1 species
GUCUCACCAAAUUAUCCAUCACCAGAUGAUGGCACAAGAAGUCGGGGUCGAUCCCGGGCAUGUCCGAAGCGGACCAUGCAAAUGCGUCCAGAUGCCGCUCAAUCACCUUGGCGAUCUGGUCCUGGAGCUCAACCUCCAGGGAUCUUCCCAGCUUGAAGAUCUUUCCCCCGAUUUCUCUCUCGAGCCACUGCUCGACGGGUUUUGG